CUAUUGAUGCGAGUAGCAGCCAUCCUGAAUGUGGAAGUCGGGAAUGGUCCUGUUGCUGCCACUUUUCAACUCGUAAUUCUGAGUUUGGGGGGGCGUACCAGAUGAUAUUUCCUAAUCGUUUACAAAAAUGGUCUGAAACAAAGAAAACAUCCUGUGAGCAGCUGCUGUGUGGAUGGAAAGUCCUGGUUUUUAUCAGAUGUCCUGGUUUUUAUCAGAUGAGAAUAGGCAGACUGGUUUAAGCUGAUCAAAUAACUACCCUUCACAGACAAGGCUUCACAGCCUGCCUAGGCGUGUGACAGAUAUUCACUGGGGAAGGACUUCUUUUUCCACUGGAUUAACCACCAGCUGGUAUCAAACGUUUCCUCACUGUGACUUUGAACAACAUAGAUGCUAGAUGCAUAGGGAUUCUGAGUUUCCGAACAGCCGGUCACCUGGAUGGAUCAAGCUAAAAAUCAGCCAAUUUUGUGGGUGUAUUUUGAAUCACAACC